rnacentral:rRNA from 1 species
GUCAGGAUGAACGCUAGCUACAGGCUAACACAUGCAAGUCGAGGGGCAGCAUGAUCUAAGCUUGCUAGAUUGAUGGCGACCGGCGCACGGGUGAGUAACGCGUAUCCAACCUUCCCUAUAGUAGAGGAUAGCCCGGCGAAAGUCGGAUUAAUACUCUAUGUUUUCCAAUGCAGACAUCUAAGUUGGAACAAAGGUUUACCGCUAUAGGAUGGGGAUGCGUCUGAUUAGAUAGUAGGCGGGGUAACGGCCCACCUAGUCUACGAUCAGUAGGGGUUCUGAGAGGAAGGUCCCCCACAUUGGAACUGAGACACGGUCCAAACUCCUACGGGAGGCAGCAGUGAGGAAUAUUGGUCAAUGGGCGAGAGCCUGAACCAGCCAAGUAGCCGUGCAGGAUGACGGCCCUAUGGGUUGUAAACUGCUUUUAUCGGGGGAUAAAGUGAGGGACGUGUCCCUUAUUGUAGGUACCCGAUGAAUAAGGACCGGCUAAUUCCGUGCCAGCCGCUGC